rnacentral:rRNA from 1 species
GACGAACGCUGGCGGCGUGCUUAACACAUGCAAGUCGAACGGAAAGGCCCUGCUUUUGUGGGGUGCUCGAGUGGCGAACGGGUGAGUAACACGUGAGUAACCUGCCCUUGACUUUGGGAUAACUUCAGGAAACUGGGGCUAAUACCGGAUAGGAGCUCCUGCUGCAUGGUGGGGGUUGGAAAGUUUCGGCGGUUGGGGAUGGACUCGCGGCUUAUCAGCUUGUUGGUGGGGUAGUGGCUUACCAAGGCUUUGACGGGUAGCCGGCCUGGGAGGGUGACCGGCCACAUUGGGACUGAGAUACGGCCCAGACUCCUACGGGAGGCAGCAGUGGCGAAUAUUGCACAAUGGGCGGAAGCCUGAUGCAGCAACGCCGCGUGCGGGAUGAAGGCCUUCGGGUUGUAAACCGCUUUCGCCUGUGACGAAGCGUGAGUGACGGUAAUGGGUAAAGAAGCACCGGCUAACUACGUG